rnacentral:rRNA from 1 species
UACGUAGGCAGCGAGCGUUGUUCGGAGUUACUGGGCGUAAAGGGUGUGUAGGCGGUUGUUUAAGUUUGGUGUGAAAUCUCCCGGCUCAACUGGGAGGUGCGCCGAAUACUGAAUGACUCGAGUGUGGGAGAGGUGAGUGGAAUUCCUGGUGUAGCGGUGAAAUGCGUAGAUAUCAGGAGGAACACCGGUGGUGUAGACGGCUCACUGGACCAUAACUGACGCUGAGGAGCGAAAGCGUGGGUAGCGAACAGG